GAUGAACGCUGGCGGCGUGCCUAAUACAUGCAAGUCGAGCGAACGGACGAGAAGCUUGCUUUUCUGAUGUUAGCGGCGGACGGGUGAGUAACACGUGGAUAACCUACCUAUAAGACUGGGAUAACUUCGGGAAACCGGAGCUAAUACCGGAUAAUAUUUUGAACCGCAUGGUUCAAAAGUGAAAGACGGUCUUGCUGUCACUUAUAGAUGGAUCCGCGCUGCAUUAGCUAGUUGGUAAGGUAACGGCUUACCAAGGCAACGAUGCAUAGCCGACCUGAGAGGGUGAUCGGCCACACUGGAACUGAGACACGGUCCAGACUCCUACGGGAGGCAGCAGUAGGGAAUCUUCCGCAAUGGGCGAAAGCCUGGCGGAGCAACGCCGCGUGAGUGAUGAAGGUCUUCGGAUCGUAAAACUCUGUUAUUAGGGAAGAACAUAUGUGUAAGUAACUGUGCACAUCUUGACGGUACCUAAUCAGAAAGCCACGGCUAACUACAUG
rnacentral:rRNA from 1 species